rnacentral:rRNA from 1 species
GCGUUAAUCGGAAUUACUGGGCGUAAAGCGUGAGCAGGCGGUUUUAUAAGUCUGAUGUGAAAUCCCCGGGCUCAACCUGGGAACUGCAUUGGAGACUGUAAGGCUAGAGUGUGUCAGAGGGGGGUAGAAUUCCACGUGUAGCAGUGAAAAGCGUAGAUAUGUGGAGGAAUACCGAUGGCGAAGGCAGGCCCCUGGGAUAACACUGACGCUCAUGCACGUAAGCGUGGGGAGCAAA